GAUGAACGCUGGCGGCGUGCCUAACACAUGCAAGUCGAACGAAGCAAUUAAGAUGAAGUUUUCGGAUGGAAUCUUGAUUGACUGAGUGGCGGACGGGUGAGUAACGCGUGGAUAACCUGCCUCACACUGGGGGAUAACAGUUAGAAAUGACUGCUAAUACCGCAUAAGCGCACAGUGCCGCAUGGCAGUGUGUGAAAAGGAGCAAUCCGCUUUGAGAUGGCCUCGCGUCCGAUUAGCUAGUUGGUGAGGUAACGGCCCACCAAGGCAACGAUCGGUAGCCGGACUGAGAGGUUGAACGGCCACAUUGGGACUGAGACACGGCCCAG
rnacentral:rRNA from 1 species